CUACAUGGUCAUACCGCCUUUGCUCUGCCCAAUCCCGUCAGACCUUGGAAGCUAAGCAGGGAAGGGCCUGGUCGGUACUUGGAUGGGAGACUGCUUGGGAACACCAGGAAGCCUAGUGAA
rnacentral:rRNA from 1 species